rnacentral:lncRNA from 1 species
CAAAUUCUUCACAGUGUUGGUUCAUUAUUUAUACAAGUGGUACUACCUCAAAAGUGCGGCUCACCUCGGAAGCUUCACCAUAUGAGGACAGAUAAAGGAGGAGAAGUCACGCUCAUACACCUCUACUCAACUGGAGAUUUGUUCAGAAAAGUGCGUUCCUUGUGAAAAGGGGCUCACAAAUACCACGAUUUGCAGCAAAGGCACCACAUCUGCUCCGCUUAAUUGCAGAUCAGUCAGCCCUUUUCACAUAAUUAACAAGGCAACAACCAAAACAUUUUGUCCUCCCACAUUGAGGAGCAUCACCUCCAUCAUGGCAUUUCCCUCAUGGCAGGGUGUCCUACUUACACUCUGCACGCUGCAGCUAUUAUGUGCAACACAACAAACGAUGUCAACAGCUGCCACAUCACCAACAGAAACGAAUGAAGCAAGUGAACAAUUUGAUGGAUUUGACACCACCUUCUGUCAAGACAAAGACAACGGACAGCUUCCUUUCUCAAUAUUCAAACUGUGUGGGUGUUUGUUUGAGUGUAUCCUGAUGUCAAUGGGUUGCUUGAAGAGACCUCCACAGCUUUCGGAGCCUUGCCCAAUGCAAGCUUUGCAGUCAAAAGCCUGUUUGUAAAGACCAAAUGUGAUGUGUACCAGGUCUGCACGCUGUCAUUGCUCUUCUAUGGUUCUGAAUGUUGGAAAUUGGUCUGAGAACAUCUGUCGACAUUGAACGUUUUUCAAUACUUGGCACUUUGAAUGUGUGUACACACAAUUGUUGGCAUCUCAAACAGAACCCAAUGGUCAGAGUGCAUAACGGAGGGAAUGUUGGGGAUUCCUAGAAACAAUAACUGAACAAUGCCUGGCGUGGCCAGGCCACCUUGUCUGCAUUCUCAAUCAUACCACCCCAAAUAUAAUGUCUUUAGCUCGUUGCCUCAGCCUCACUCAGUAGGCAAGCCAAGCAAACAGAGCAGAGAUGUGAUCCGCCAGGAAUUAAAGGAUGUUGGAGUGCAAGAAUACAAGAGGCAUGACAUCGCAACCACUUCCAAAGUGACGUGAUGCACAAUUUGCCACAUCUCUGUGAGAGAACUUCAGCAAAGUGAUUUAACUGAUGAGCCACCAAACCAAGCAGAGUGCAGGUCAAUGUGGAUGGACCUUAAGGAUGAAAAAUGACAUAAGUAGGCUCAAGUAUAUCUCAGAAAGACAAAGGCCUAUUCGUGAUCUAUGUCCAGAAUGCCAGAAACGGUUUGCUAAUCGUGGUGCACUUGCAGUUUGUAGGUUUGGACCAUCCUAACAGUGACCAUACAGAGACUUUGGAGAAUUCUUCUCAAUAUUUGUUCUCCCUAAUGGAAGUAGCAUGACCAUGUAAUGGCAGCAACUGAACAUCACAAGGUGUGUGUGUGUGUCCACAUGCAAAUCAACUAUAAUACAUGACAUAGGUGUGGACAUGGUUACUGAGACAAAUACCCUGGUCAGGCUGUGCAUUGUUUACUACUUUGUUUUCCUAUUCCUCUCCUUUCCCAUUGUAGUUGCUUCAUAAUUACAUUCUUGUUGUUGAGAAUAUUUUGCCCUCAUUUUUUACAAUCGACUUCUCCACUGCAAUACAUUUUAUGAAUAAUUGUCACGUCUGGGUUGCACUUCAUUCCAUGAUAAUGCUUUUUUGUUUUGAUUUCGGCAUCCAUGUCUGGCGUUUACGUUUCUUUUAGGUCAUGCUCACACAGAACGUUUACACAAAGGGUCAAAAAAGGUUUUUGCACAACCUUGAAAGAAUGGUCCGUACAAGUCAUUCCACUGCAUAUCACCUGUGUUUAUUGCUCAGGAAAUUUUUUGAAAAGGGAAAAACUUUGACAUCCCCUCUCCCCUCCUUACUCCGUAUUUACAUCAUUAUCUAGUAACGGAUCAUCAAAUACAUCAAACAGUAGUUUAACUGCAAGCCUAGCAUUGUAAACAUUUUCAGGCUUUUGUGCACCUCAUCGAAACAUGGCCCAUUGAUCGUUUGCUCUCACAUCACCUCAUUACGAACACCUCUGCCAUGUAGUAACCUGAUUCAGAACAGUCAUUUGAUGCUUCAGCAAUGCGACAACACUGUUUUACCGUUUAUGGAUGUCUUUUCACUGCACAACAUGGCGACUUACUUUUGAAAGUACCAAACGCCUCCAGAUCAUGCUUUGCCAACCACAAUCUACACCCGUGGAAGAUUCGGUGAGAGCGGCCUGUGUGCUUUUCCACAAGUUCACCUUAUAGUGUGCAUUCUGACACCUGUGUGGAAUGUACCUGCUAUGUGGCAUCACACCACUUGCUGCAGAAUCAAUGUGGAAACUCUUUCCUCACCAGCUAGGAAUUCGUUCAGAUUGCUGGCUUAUGCUAAUGUCAAUGGGUUACAAUUCUUGGACUGGUGAAUUUUGAAAAAAAAAAAAAAUUAAAACCAUCGAAUUGGACAUGCCACCUGGGCAUCCAGAUAAUGAGUUUAUCGACAUGUGAUGCCCUGUUUUCCCUGAACGUUUUGUUCUUCUUUCCAUUUUCUCACGCUUUGCCUUCCUGUUUAUAUUCUUAUUUAUUUUGAUGUUUACUUUUGCUUGAAUAUUUUGCAAAUCAUUUUCCACGUCAUCAGUGGUCGAGUUUGACUUUUGUGUUUUCCAGCCACCACUGUCAACUGCAUAUUUAAUCUUAUUUGUGUUCUUCUUCCUUGUCUUUAUGUAAGCUCAACUCUGAGCUGGGCUGUUAUAAGUUUCUUAAAAGUAAAUACUUUGAUCAGCAAAUUAUGAAAAUGUUCACUUUGAAAUGAUGAUUCCAAAUAAAGUUUCAAAUCUCGUUUUCUUUUCCUCCCUCCAUGUUUUAUCGAUGAUCAUGAAGAGUUCCCAUCCCCUGCAGUGAUGGACUUUUAACAGGUUAAUUGUGUUUCAUUCUUAAUUUCACGCAUAUGGAGUCAAAGCUCUGAUCUACUUCUACUGUCAACUGUGAAAUGGAGGUGCAACAUCAGGUGGGGAAGGUUCAAUUUGUUUUAAAAGAGCGCAAAAUAUGCUGCUUGCUAAAUACAAUUUGACAUGACUAGCAUACAUGGCAAGUUGAAGGCGACAAAAAACGGGGUUGGUAGGAAUCGAAAGCGGUUUUUUUUAACCCUUUGCAUGCUGCAGUCGCAGAUUUGUGACAAGAUAAAAAAAAAAUUGAAACUAUUUUUAAUUGUUUUAAUUUUGGUUAUUCGUCUAACUUGACACCUAAGUUGUGUGUUUUUUUUUGCAAAUACCACUUGAAAUUCAGAGCCCAAUGAAAAAUAUAAGUUCAGCAACAUAGAACCAUGCAGCCAUAAACAAUGGAGCAUGCAAAGGGUUAAAACCAAACGUGGUGAAAGCGCUGUUUGAUAUGUUGAUUAAUCAGUAAUGAUAAAGAGGUUCCAAGUCAGACAUACAAACAUACAUACAGAACAUUUCUCAAGCAAAGAAUAUUUCUGUUAUGUCGCUCAACAGACGCUAAACAAUGCGAGUGAUUGCAGGGCACAAGUCCAUUUAUUCUGCAGCAUGUAACGUUCACAGAUUUCUGACUCCGUUAAGAUGGAGUUAAGAUCUCUGACUCCUGGUAACAGACUCCCUCAUGUUCCACAUGCCCCUCUCUCUUGCAUCAUCAUCUUCCUCACAAUCUGUCAACAUCAGGAAAUUCAACAACAACAUAUUUGGAAAUAAUAUAACACUGAAGAAAGAACAGAACAAUUUUUCUAAGUUUUAUUUACUUUUUUCAUUUCCCGUUGUCACCUGUGACACGUGACAUGACAUUUACUGCAAAUAGCGUCCCCACAAUAAAGAGCAGCGUUGCCUGAUUUAUGGCGAACAAAUGGCAAUGAAUGCUACAUGAUGAACUUGAGAAAUCUUGACAAUAAAACUAGGAGAAACGUUUGUUCAUUCACAAGCAUCAAAUCGCAUCAUUGUAUCCAAUUUCAUUCAUUUUUUUUAAAAAAAUCACGGUUUGAAUUUGAAACGGUAAUUUGUG